AUAAAUUUUCAAGGAUAGGUGAAACCCCUUACCGGCGGUCAGAGUCCGCAACCCUGCAUAAAACACAGGUUGAUUUAGUGAAAUUCUAAAACCGACAGUCAAAGUCUGGAUGGGAGAAAAUUUUG
rnacentral:ncRNA from 2 species